AGGGAAAUCCAUCUGGGAGUUGGUGGUGGAGCAGUUCGAGGAUCUCCUGGUUCGGAUCCUGCUCUUGGCCGCCUGCAUUUCCUUCGUCCUGGCCUGGUUCGAGGAGGGCGAGGAAACCAUCACGGCCUUCGUCGAGCCCUUCGUCAUCCUCCUCAUCCUCAUCGCCAACGCCGUCGUCGGGGUCUGGCAGGAGCGGAAUGCCGAGAACGCCAUCGAGGCUCUGAAGGAGUACGAGCCCGAGAUGGGCAAAGUUUACCCCAAAAA